rnacentral:rRNA from 1 species
CCUAACGGCCAUACCACCCUGGCAACGCCCGAUCUCCGUAUGAUCUCCGGAAGCUAAGCAGGGUCGGGCCCGGUAGUACUUGGAUGGGAGACCUCCGGGAAACCGGGUGAUGUAGGCU